UUGAAGGAAGUCAAACUCUCAUCCUGAGCAGGAACAACUUUUAUUAUUUGUUCACCAAAUUACAGUUUAAAGCCACCUCAGUGAAUGAACAGAUUAUUAGAUUGUGGGCCCUGGUGACAGACAUCUAGAGGCCCCGACUCAUCCUGAAGAGAACCAAGACACCAGGUGGAACGAGACGUUAAUGCAGCUGGCUGCAAUAACCCAUCAUCACCGUCAUCAGAACUGUGGGCAGCCGUGAUGCAGCACACCUGUUCUCCAUCUCCCUCCAUAAAAGCCAGCUCCACACUCAACACCCUGCCAGAUAGUUGCUUCAGCUCCAAGCUGUUAGUCUCUGCUGGUCACGCUGCCCAGGCUCCCUUGUCACUCCUGUCCACCACCAAACUCUGAACCGGCAUUCACCUCUGGAGGAGGAGGUGUCUCAUCCCUGCCUGCCUCAGCCCGCUUCCCCUGCCUGCCUCUGGAUAUCCAGGACUGCCACAAUCACUCUCUGCCACUCACCCACCCCAGCAGAGGACUAACCUGGACCGCCGGUCUCCGGUAGCCUGUCAGCCCCACUUCCAGUCCGUAGGUUCACCACUGACCGUGACAAAACUACAAGAAAAAGGCACAAAAUGGGACAAAGCUACAAGAAAAAAGGUACGAAAUGGCCACAAAAAGAGGCAAAACAGCCACAAGAAGACAUACAAAGACACAUAAACCAAGAAUUUCACAUCUCAUUCCAUCUGGUGUCUUGGUUCUCUUCAGGAUGAGUCGGGGCCUAUACAUGUCUGUCACCAGGGGCCACAAUCUAAUAAUCUGUUCAUACACCGAGGUGACUUUAAACUGUAAUUUGGUGAACAAAUAAUAAAAGUUGUUCCUGCUCAGGAUGAGAGUUUGACUUCCU